AAAGUUUUAAGUUAAUUAAACUGGAGUCCUUCAAAGUCUUUUUUAAAGGUUUUAUUCCUUUAAACUUUA
rnacentral:tRNA from 1 species